UACGGGGGGGGCAAGCGUUGUUCGGAAUUACUGGGCGUAAAGGGCGCGUAGGCGGCCUGCUAAGUCGGACGUGAAAUCCCUCGGCUUAACCGAGGAACUGCGUCCGAUACUGGUGGGCUUGAAUCCGGGAGAGGGAUGUGGAAUUCCAGGUGUAGCGGUGAAAUGCGUAGAUAUCUGGAGGAACACCGGUGGCGAAGGCGGCAUCCUGGACCGGUAUUGACGCUGAGGCGCGAAAGCGUGGGGAGCAAACAGG
rnacentral:rRNA from 1 species